GACGAACGCUGGCGGCGUGCUUAACACAUGCAAGUCGAACGGAAAGGCCCUGCUUUUGUGGGGUGCUCGAGUGGCGAACGGGUGAGUAACACGUGAGUUACCUGUCACUGACUUUGGGAUAACUUCAGGAAACUGGGGGUAAUACCGGAUAGGAGUUCCUGCUGUUUGGUGGGGGUUGGAAAGUUUCGGUGGUUGGGGGUGGACUCGCGGCUUAUCAGCUUGUUGGUGUGGUAGUGGCUUACCAAGGCUUUGACGGGUAGCCGGCCUGGUAGGGUAGCCUGCCACAUUAGAACUGGAAUGCGGCCCAGACUCCUACGGGAGGCGGCAGUGGAGAAGAUUGCACAGUGGGCGGAAGCCUGAUGCAGCAACGCCGCGUGCGGGAUGACGGCCUUCGGGUUGUAAACCACUGUCGCCUGGGACGAAGCGUGAAUGACGGUAAUGGGUAAAGAAGCACCGGCUAACUACGUG
rnacentral:rRNA from 1 species